rnacentral:misc_RNA from 1 species
GAUGAAGAACGUAGUGAAAUGCGAUACGUAAUGUGAAUUGCAGAAUUCAGUGAAUCAUCGAAUCUUUGAACGCAUAUUGCGCUCUUUGGUAUUCCGAAGAGCAUGCUUGUUUGAGUAUCAGUAAACACCUCAAAGACUUCAAUUUGUUUUGAAUGGCUUUGGACUUGAGCAAUCCCAACACCAGUCUUUACGAUCGGUGGAGGGUUGCUUGAAAUGCAGGUGCAGCUGGACAUUCUCCUGAGCUAAAAGCAUAUUUAUUUAGUCCCGUCAAACGGAUUAUUACUUUUGCUGCAGCUAACAUAAAGGGAGUUUGACCGUAUUGGCUGACUGAUGCAGGAUUUCACAAGGGUCGGCAACGAUUCUUGUAAAACUCGACCUCAAAUCAAGUAAGACUACCCGCUGAACUUAAGCAUAUCAAUAAGCGGAGA